GGAAAGCAAAAAGAGAAAAAGAAUACAAGGAUUACCUUGGAAGUUUUUUCACCAAAGGAAGGUUACCAGAAAUUGCCAAAGAAAUAAUAAAGAAAUAUCAAGAAAAAAGGAUAUAAGGAAAGUACAAAACGUACUAUAUAUAGCUCUGGGAUAGAAACUUUGAAAUUCAAACACUAUGUCAAGCGCUGAAAUAAAUUUAUUACCCUUGAAAAAAGGCUAUAAUUAUCGAUCAUAUCAAAAAGACGCAACAUAAAAAGCGUGCCAAACCAGUUGUUUGCAAGCCACCAUAUAUCCCUCCUAACUAACCCGUAACUAAGAAUAAUGACGGAUGAGUAGCAACACAAACCUAAAGGAUCAUAAAGACUAGAAGAGAGAACUAAUGAUACUACUCACCUAGAAUCCAAGUCAAAUAGUCAAAAUUCUACACAAAUAUCUAACUUAGUAAUCAGAAAGGUUAAACACUAUUUUAAAUAGUUAAAAGAUCAAGCGAGCCGAACAAAGCACCAAGGACUGAAACAAGACCAAACAAAACACCUUCGGUCGCCUAAUAAGGCAAGUAAAAGAUAUAUCCAGCAAUAAUCAUGCCAGUAAUUAAGCAAGAUCGAACAUCACAUACUGAGCAAUAGUCACACCAGUAAAUAAAGCAAAAGCAGAUUUUAUGGAGACAAUCACAGCACAUCAACCAAGAUUAUAUGCAUAAACGAAGCAGCAGCUAUUUCCUUAAAAGGCCUAUAAAUACCAACCAAACAACUAGAAACAAGGUACACAUAUUCUCAUUCUCAAAAUCUCAUUACAGUUCUUCCAAUAUUCUCAUAUUCAGUUCUCUGACUUGAGCAUCGGAGUGGCUUCCUAUAAGGCCACCCACCUUACCCUUUUUCCUUAUUGCAGGCUCACGUGGUAUUAGGACUAGGUCCCAGGAUCCUUCAGUAGCAUCACUUAGAACAAAGGCCAGCCUCUACUAUUAAUUCCUAAAGCAUGUCUUAUUAUUUCUUUUAUUAAGUUCCUUAACAUACAUUUAUGCAAGUCUAAGAGUGCACACACAUUUGAAUUCAACCAUUUAAGAAAAUAACUGUCACGACCCAACCUAUG
rnacentral:misc_RNA from 1 species